rnacentral:rRNA from 1 species
UACGUAGGUGGCAAGCGUUGUCCGGAAUUACUGGGUGUAAAGGGCGUGUAGGCGGUUAUGCAAGUCAGGUGUGAAAGCCCAUGGCUCAACUGUGGGAUUGCAUCUGAAACUGUGUAUCUUGAGUGCUGGAGAGGGAAGCGGAAUUCCUAGUGUAGCGGUGAAAUGCGUAGAUAUUAGGAGGAACACCAGUGGCGAAGGCGGCUUUCUGGACAGUAACUGGCGCUGAGGCGCGAAAGCGUGGGGAG